CUCUGUGGAUAUUGACAAAACUGGAAAAACAGACGUCUUUAGUUGACUGGAGAUCAAUAUGAACCGAGCAGAAGCUUGAGAAAUUCAGGAGCUGUCGCUGGCAUUCCCUACAACACACCUGCACCUGGCUGGUGGGGGCCGGAGGGGGUGGUGGCUGCACACAACCCAUGCAGAGGCCCCUUGCAUCCUGCCUCAGACUCCUCGCUGCAGCUGGGAGCAGAAUGGCAAGCGUGGAGGGCUGCUCUUCCAGUCACAACUCCAGAUCUGCAGGUCCCUGGGCGCACACUGCCAUGCUGGCAUCUAGACAGUGUCAUCCGGGACAAGUCAAUCCCUGCCAGAAAG